CCUACGGGGGGCAGCAGUGGGGAAUAUUGCGCAAUGGGCGAAAGCCUGACGCAGCGACGCCGCGUGAGGGAUGAAGGUCUUCGGAUCGUAAACCUCUGUCAGCAGGGAAGAACGGUCACUGUGCUAAUCAGCAGUGAAUUGACGGUACCUGCAAAGGAAGCACCGGCUAACUCCGUGCCAGCAGCCGCGGUAAUACGGAGGGUGCGAGCGUUAAUCGGAAUUACUGGGCGUAAAGCGCUCGUAGGCGGUAUGUCAAGUCAAGGGUGAAAUCCCCGCGCUCAACGUGGGAACUGCCUUUGAAACUGGCAAACUGGAGUGUGUGAGAGGAUAGUGGAAGUCCAGGUGUAGGAGUGAAAUGCGUAGAUAUCUGGAGGAACAUCAGUGGCGAAGGCGACUAUCUGGCACAUAACUGACGCUGAGGAGCGAAAGCGUGGGUAGCAAACAGGAUUAGAUACCCUGGUAGUC
rnacentral:rRNA from 1 species